ACAAUCCAAACGAUGGACGAUUCAGCAGGAUUUUGCAAGCAAUUGCAAAAGCUUCUUUCACCAUUGACAAUGAUCAAUCAAAGGUAUGUACAAGCUUCCAGUUUUGAUGAAUUGUUUGUUUUUUCAUUUCCAACUGUAUUAUGCUGGUAUAGCGUUUUGUUUCAUCCACUUUACUCUAAUGUCUUUUGAUAUCUUUUUCAUAUCAGUGCUAUAGUUUGGUUGAUUCAUCAUUUUACAGAUGUUAUGGAAGGGAACUGACACAAUUAUGACACUUGAUUGAUUUUAACAAAAAGGAAAACUUCAUCUUCUUUCAAGUUAACCAUUAGGACCAACAAUUAAUUGUUGGCUGGGAAGAGCUUCAUCGCUACUACAACAUGACACCAAAUCACUCCAUUUACUUUCAUUAUUUAGGUAGAUACAAGGAAAACUCAGUCUUCAAUAUCACAAUUUUCAAGCAAGAACAGGUGACAGAAGACAUCCCACAACCGAUUCAACCACAACAACCUAUUCAACUGUAACCGAUUUAACCCCCUGCAGAAUCAUGGGUACAUGACAACAUACAGUGGGAAGUUACACUCACUGAUUAUAAAUCCAGAGAAAGUCAAUUGGUUUGAUCUUAUCUUAUUUCAUGUUUUCACCAUUGCAUUUUCCUUUAAAAUUGGUUUACUUAUAACAUUGUCUCUUUCAUUCGGAAACAACAUUUUGCAGAGUCUAUCGAAGGAUAUUGCAAAUGUAUUGAAAUUGUGGAAUCUACAGUCCCUUAUCCUGUUUUUCAACAACAAUGAAAAUGGGAUCCACUGCAAGUUGAGUAUUCGCUACACCCAUAGCAAAACUGUCAUGAUAGCUAAAGGAUAUAAGGAAUUUUGCACAACCGACAACAUUUUGAAGGACAUGACACUUUGAUUUGAUUUCAAUCACGCCAACAACAACAGGGUCUAUGUCACUCAACUUUGAUAAUUAAAAUUUUGCCUAUGAUUGCUUAACUUUUUUGUAUAUUUUGUCUGAUGAACAUAUUAUAUUUACAAUGUUAAUUUCCUUAUUUAUUGGGUUUA
rnacentral:lncRNA from 1 species